rnacentral:rRNA from 1 species
UACACACCGCCCGUCACACCAUGGGAGUUGGUUUCACCCGAAGGCAGUGCGCUAACCCGCAAGGGAGGCAACUGACCACGGUGGGAUCAACGACUGGGGUG